UACGUAGGGUGCAAGCGUUAAUCGGAAUUACUGGGCGUAAAGCGUGCGCAGGCGGUUUUGUAAGCCAGAUGUGAAAUCCCCGGGCUUAACCUGGGAAUGGCAUUUGGGACUGCAAGGCUGGAGUGUGGCAGAGGAGACUGGAAUUCCUGGUGUAGCAGUGAAAUGCGUAGAUAUCAGGAGGAAUGCCGAUGGCGAAGGCAGGUCUCUGGGCUGACACUGACGCUCAUGCACGAAAGCGUGGGGAGCAAACAGG
rnacentral:rRNA from 1 species